CCCUGUGUUGGUUGUUUAUAGAGUUGUCUGUUACUGGUGAGGAUGAUGAAGAUGAUGACACAGAGCUACCACCACCAUCACCCCCCCACAGGACUGCAGCUCGCCGGUCCAUCUGCCUCCGUGUCAUCACGGCAAGCCAGACGAGGAAAAAGACAGCGC